UACGAGUAGUGCGAGUGUUAUUCCCCGUGACUGGGCGUAAAGGGUGUGUAGGCUGUGUAGCAAGUUUUAGGUGAAAAGCAUAGAAAUAGAGGAGCGUAUUAUACUGUUACACUAGAGUAUAUAGGGAGAAGGAGGAACUUCUUGCAACAGAAUUAAAAUGCGUCUAAACAAGAAGGAACGACGAUAGCGAAAGCAUCUUUCUAUGAUAUACUGACGCUGAGACACGAAGGCAUGGGGAUCAAAUGGG
rnacentral:rRNA from 1 species